CAAGGCUCACCAUGUAGCUGGUGCCACAGUGGCAUUUUCAGAGGGGUGCUGCUUCCUGCAGAAUGCACUUGACGUCGGGUAGCACAGCAGGGUGCGGUAAUGGUGACAAGAAUCAGCUGCAGUGUGGUUUCGAUGUUUUCCAACAAACAUUCCUCCAAGUGUGGGAGCAGGGAGCACAGGCCAUGCCACCAUCUCCAGUGGGUACAGUUCUACUUGGUAAUUAGAUAAAAGAUUUGGGCAGACACGGUUUUGCAUCUGCACCCCAUAAUGAAUGUGGGGGCAGUUCUGAAUUCAGGGACAGGAGGAAACCAUAAUAUAUUCAUUCAUUGUAAUUACUUGGGGGUAGUUCUUGCAGGUAGUUCUUUUGCUAACCCCCACGGUACAGGCUGGGUCCGAGGCAAGCUUCCUGGGCCUGUGGGUAGAGUUCUAGUUCGGUUUCAGGAGCAAAAUCACUCUGGGUAACUCCUAUCUUUAUGCUGGUGGCUCCUUCCAGUUCCCAGUCUGGCCUGCUCUUCUUGUGUGGACCCAGAACCCCA
rnacentral:lncRNA from 1 species